CAAUCUUCACACUUCGUCUCAUCCCGAUGUUUCCGCCAUUGGUUGGGGUGUGACACUUCCUGCUAUCACAAAGCUGUUUCCAUGUGCUGAGCACAGAUACUGUCUCAGGCACAUUCAUGAAAAUAUGAAGUUGCAGUUUAAAGGGAAGUUGUACAAAGACAAAUUAUGGAACUGUGCAACAGCCACUACCAUUCCAGAAUUUACAACUGCAAUGAAUGAGUUAAAGGCAUUCAACAAGAAAGCCCAUCUAUGGUUGUCCAAGAUCCCACCACUACAUUGGUGUAGAGCAUAUUUCUCAGGCAGGGCAGUUUCUGAUAUGCUACUUAACAAUAUGUGUGAGGUGUAUAAUGGAAAGAUAGUAGAAGGAAGGGACAGGCCCAUCAUAUCUGCCUUAGAGUACAUAAGAGAGUAUUUAAUGAGAAGAAUUGUGACUGUUCUUAAUGUGAUAGAGAAAUGUGAAGGCUUGUUGACACUUGGGCCACUGAGCAGUUUAACACAAUCAAGAAAGAAGCAGCACAUUAUCAUGUGCAGUGGAAUGGAGGGGAAUAUUAUGAGGUUAGUGGUAAACCCAACAGUGCACGUGUGGUGAACUUAGAUAAGAGGACAUGUAGCUGCAGGAGGUGGGAAAUAACAGGUAUGCCCUGCAGACAUGCUGUGGCUGCAUUAUGGGUGAGGGCUGCUAAUGGUGGAAGGGUGGGGGCUUUGGAGAGCUGGGUACAUCCUGUCUACACAAUGGAUAGGUGGAGGCUAGUUUAUUCACACAAGGUAAACCCACUCAAUGGAAGAACUUUAUGGGUAAAAACAUUGUUUCCUGUGACCAUUACCCCACCCAAACACCACAACCAAGUAGGUAGACCAAAAAAGGCAAGAAAAAGGUCAGCGGUGGAAAUGGAGGACAUGGCUCUUACUGGCAAGCUUUCAAGGAAGAACACGAAAGGGAAGUGUACCAAAUGUGGGGAGAAGGGCCAUAAUAUCAGAACAUGCAAGGGAAAGAAGAAUGCAGGGGGUGCAACAGCUUAGUUUGUUGUUUGUUAGCUGUUAUGUAGUUUAAAAAAACUUGUCUUUUGGUCGUUGACAAACUUGGUUCUGUAUGUUAGUUAUGGUACUCUAGAAACUGUCUAAAAACUUGUCUUUUGGUCGUUGACAAACUACUAAUCUACUGUAUUUUGGCUAUGA